CUUAAGUUGGUGCUCAUUCUUCUGGUAGCCACUGCCAGUGUUGAGAGGGUAUUUACCUCAAUGAAAUACGUGAAGAAUCCACUAAGAAACAAAAUGGAUGAUGAAUAUUUGAACAAUUGCUUGGUUACAUUUCGUUGA
rnacentral:rRNA from 1 species